rnacentral:rRNA from 1 species
GACGAACGCUGGCGGCGUGCUUAACACAUGCAAGUCGAAUGGAAAGGCCCUGCUUUUGUGGGGUGCUCGAGUGGCGAACGGGUGAGUAACACGUGAGUAACCUGCCCUUGACUUUGGGAUAACUUCAGGAAACUGGGGCUAAUACCGGAUAGGAGCUCCUGCUGCAUGGUGGGGGUUGGAAAGUUUCGGCGGUUGGGGAUGGACUCGCGGCUUAUCAGCUUGUUGGUGGGGUAGUGGCUUACCAAGGCUUUGACGGGUAGCCGGCCUGAGAGGGUGACCGGCGACAUUGGGACUGAGAUACGGCCCAGACUCCUACGGGAGGCAGCAGUGGGGAAUAUUGCACAAUGGGCGGAAGCCUGAUGCAGCAACGCCGCGUGCGGGAUGACGGCCUUCGGGUUGUAAACCGCUUUCGCCUGUGACGAAGCGUGAGUGACGGUAAUGGGUAAAGAAGCACCGGCUAACUACGUG